rnacentral:rRNA from 1 species
AACGAACGCUGGCGGCAUGCCUAACACAUGCCAGUCGAACGAGACCUUCGGGUCUAGUGGCGCACGGGUGCGUAACGCGUGGGUAUCUGCCCUUCGGUUGGGAAUAACUGAGAGAAAUUUCAGCUAAUACCUUAUAAUGUCUUCGGACCAAAGAUUUAUCGCCGAGGGAUGAGCCCGCGUAGGAUUAGGUAGUUGGUGGGGUAAUGGCCUACCAAGCCGACGAUCCUUAGCUGGUCUGAGAGGAUGAUCAGCCACACUGGGACUGAGACACGGCCCAGACUCCUACGGGAGGCAGCAGUGGGGAAUAUUGGACAAUGGGCGAAAGCCUGAUCCAGCAAUGCCGCGUGAGUGAUGAAGGCCUUAGGGUUGUAAAGCUCUUUUACCCGGGAUGAUAAUGACAGUACCGGGAGAAUAAGCUCCGGCUAACUCCGUG